CCUACGGGUGGCAGCAGUGAGGAAUAUUGGUCAAUGGACGAGAGUCUGAACCAGCCAAGUAGCGUGAAGGAUGACUGCCCUAUGGGUUGUAAACUUCUUUUAUAUGGGAAUAAAAUGUUCCACGUGUGGGAUUUUGUAUGUACCAUUUGAAUAAGGAUCGGCUAACUCCGUGCCAGCAGCCGCGGUAAUACGGAGGAUCCGAGCGUUAUCCGGAUUUAUUGGGUUUAAAGGGAGCGUAGGUGGAUUGUUAAGUCAGUUGUGAAAGUUUGCGGCUCAACCGUAAAAUUGCAGUUGAAACUGGCAGUCUUGAGUACAGUAGAGGUGAGCGGAAUUCGUGGUGUAGCGGUGAAAUGCUUAGAUAUCACGAAGAACUCCGAUUGCGAAGGCAGUUCACUGGACUGCAACUGACACUGAGGCUCGAAAGUGUGGGUAUCAAACAGGAUUAGAUACCCUUGUAGUC
rnacentral:rRNA from 1 species